rnacentral:misc_RNA from 1 species
ACCGAAGCCUGUAACCGCCUCCGGGCGUGAUGGGUAGCUGGUAUCCUCCUUCUGAGAGGUAUAUGGUGCAGCUUGGGCCGGUCCUUUUGGGUCGUGAAUUCCCAGCGCUGCGGCGGACCACCUCUUGGGCAACUCAGUGAGGGAAAUUGGAUGGCUCGUUAGGCACCUUUGGCGGCUUUGGCCCUGACGGUGGCUCGGGCUGGGUGUUGGGCUUCGGUCCACGUCCCGACCUUUUAACUAGCUCUGAUACCUCUUCAUUGGAGGGCAUGCCGGGUGGCCGUUCAUCCUUCGGGGUGAAUGGUCUCGCGGGAAAGAUAGUUACCUGGUUGAUUCUGCCAGUAGUCAUAUGCUUGUCUCAA